rnacentral:rRNA from 1 species
AACGAACGCUGGCGGCAUGCCUAACACAUGCAAGUCGAACGAGACCUUCGGGUCUAGUGGCGCACGGGUGCGUAACGUGUGGGAACCUGCCCUUAGGUUCGGAAUAACUCCCCGAAAGGGGUGCUAAUACCGGAUAAUGUCUUCGGACCAAAGAUUUAUCGCCUUUGGAUGGGCCCGCGUUGGAUUAGCUAGUUGGUAGGGUAAAAGCCUACCAAGGCGACGAUCCAUAGCUGGUCUGAGAGGAUGAUCAGCCACACUGGGACUGAGACACGGCCCAGACUCCUACGGGAGGCAGCAGUGGGGAAUAUUGGACAAUGGGCGAAAGCCUGAUCCAGCAAUGCCGCGUGAGUGAUGAAGGCCAUAGGGUUGUAAAGCUCUUUUACCCGGGAUGAUAAUGACAGUACCGGGAGAAUAAGCUCCGGCUAACUCCGUG